GCCCCCGUAGCUCAGUUGGAUAGAGUGCCGGCCUCCGAAGCCGGAAGCGUGAGUUCGAAUCUCGCCGGGGGCGCCA
rnacentral:tRNA from 1 species